CCUACGGGAGGCAGCAGUGGGGAAUAUUGGGCAAUGGGCGCAAGCCUGACCCAGCAACGCCGCGUGAAGGAAGAAGGCUUUCGGGUUGUAAACUUCUUUUAAGAGGGAAGAGCAGAAGACGGUACCUCUUGAAUAAGCCACGGCUAACUACGUGCCAGCAGCCGCGGUAAUACGUAGGUGGCAAGCGUUGUCCGGAUUUACUGGGUGUAAAGGGCGUGCAGCCGGGAAGACAAGUCAGAUGUGAAAUCCCGCGGCUCAACCGGGGAACUGCAUUUGAAACUGUUUUUCUUGAGUACCGGAGAGGUCAUCGGAAUUCCUGGUGUAGCGGUGAAAUGCGUAGAUAUAAGGAAGAACACCAGUGGCGAAGGCAGAUGACUGGACGGCAACUGACGGUGAGGCGCGAAAGCGUGGGGAGCAAACAGGAUUAGAUACCCGUGUAGUC
rnacentral:rRNA from 1 species